rnacentral:rRNA from 1 species
UGGGGGAUAUUGCACAAUGGGCGAAAGCCUGAUGCAGCAACGCCGCGUGAGGGAAGACGGUUUUCGGAUUGUAAACCUCUGUCUUCGGUGAAGAAACAAAUGACGGUAGCCGAGGAGGAAGCCACGGCUAACUACGUGCCAGCAGCCGCGGGAAUACGUAGGUGGCAAGCGUUGUCCGGAAUUACUGGGUGUAAAGGGAGCGCAGGCGGGGAGACAAGUCAGCGGUGAAAACUAUGGGCUUAACCCAUAAACUGCAGUUGAAACUGUUUUUCUAGAGUGGAGUAGAGGUAGGCGGAAUUCCGAGUGUAGCGGUGAAAUGCGUAGAUAUUCGGAGGAACACCAGUGGCGAAGGCGGCCUACUGGGCUCUAACUGACGCUGAGGCUCGAAAGUGUGGGGAGCAAACA